rnacentral:rRNA from 1 species
UAAGACGUAGGUGGCGAACGUUAUCCGGAAUCAUUGGGCGUAAAGGGUGCGUAGAUGGCAUAAUAAGUUAUUAGUGGGAAAUCGAGGCUCAACCUCGUGGAAGCUGGUAAUACUGUUUUGCUUGAGUGCAGGAGAGGUUAACGGAACUCCAUGUGGAGCGGUAAAAUGCGUAGAUAUAUGGAAGAACAUCAAUAACGGCGAAGGCAGUUAACUAUUCUGUUACUGACAUUGAGGCACGAAAGCGUGGGGAGCAAAACGGAUUAGAUACCCGUGUAGUCCACGCCCUAAACGAUGAGUACUAGGUAUUGGGAACUUGAUUCUCAGUGCCGCUAGGUAACCCAGUAAGUACUCCGCCUGGGUAGUACGCUCGCAAGAGUG